GUGUUCACUUCAGCAACACAUAUACUAAAAUUGGAAUGAUACAGAGAAGAUUAGCAUGGCCCCCGCACAAGGAUGACACGCAAAUUCCUGAAGUGUUCCAUAUUUUA
ensembl:snRNA U6 U6 spliceosomal RNA